GGGCACGCGUGCCCACCCGAAGUCCAACUCCGAUUGUGGCUUGGAUUUUGCCCAGAGCGGGUGUAAGGCCCGUACGGGUGGGCGGUUGAUCGCGAGCGCGGCCCUCAGAUGUGCAUGCUUUCGAGUCGGAUUGCUUGAGAAUGCAGUCCAAAGUGGGUGGUAAACUCCAUCCAAGGCUAAAUACUGGCACGAGUCCGAUAGUAGACAAGUACCGUGAGGGAAAGUUGAAAAGUACUCUGAAGAGAGAGUAAAUAGUACGUGAAACCGAUUGCAGGGAAGCUGGUGGAGUCAAGCUUCAUGCUUGGAGAAUUCUCGCUCGGGGCUUUGCUGUGUUUUGGGCAUGGUACCGGUUAGCUUGGAAAGAGUUGGGCACACUCGUGUGCUUCAAGUCGGCCCGGGCGUGGUUGAUUGAGCCGGUGCUAAUGCUCUGUCCUGAGCGAUCUAUUCUCCGCGGCAUAGAUCACGGUCGAUAGUGUUUUGUGAAACGUGCUGUCCGACUGUCUAACUGUGCUUUGGUGGGCCCUUGGCUUGCCGGGUGCAGGAUGGCAGGUGGCGGUUGUGGGCCUCGUGCUCUCGACUGCUCAAGCUGGUCUCGA
rnacentral:rRNA from 1 species